rnacentral:piRNA from 1 species
CUUCUUAGGACAAUGUCAAGAAGGAAGGCU